GUGGACAUUUUAAUAGAUAGGCACCUCUGACUAAUUGAAAUGUAGCUUAAGUGUCACGAUAGCUUUGUAAUAGACCAAGGUGAUGUUUUAUCUCAAAACAAACAAAAAGAGCCCCUUUAUUUAAAGGAGUUCAGUGUGGAAUGGAAGAUGCAAGAUGGGGUUUGAGGAAAAGAGUUACAAGAGCCAAUGAGAUGAAAAUGCCAUUGUUUUUCCUAAUGUGGUGUCAAGGCAGAACCAUCUCUGGGGAUGUCAGGAAGCCAUCCUGCAGUCGUGAAAGGAUGAGGACUGAAUUCCGUGAAGACAAUUCCUCCUCGCUUCAAGAAGAUGAAGAAGUAGAGAUGGAGGCCAUCAGCUGGCAGGCCAGCAGUCCAGCCAUGAAUGGGCACCCUGCCCCUCCAGUGACCUCUGCUCGUUUUCCCAGCUGGGUCACCUUUGAUGACAAUGAAGUCAGCUGCCCUUUACCACCAGUCACCUCUUCUCUGAAGCCAAAUACACCACCAAGUGCAUCUGUGAUCCCAGAUGUACCUUAUAAUUCAAUGGGAUCAUUUAAGAAGAGGGACCGUC
rnacentral:sRNA from 1 species